rnacentral:rRNA from 1 species
GACGAACGCUGGCGGCGUGCUUAACACAUGCAAGUCGAACGGAAAGGCCCUGCUUUUGUGGGGUGCUCGAGUUGCGAACGUGUGAGUAACACGUGAGUAACCUGCCCUUGACUUUGGGAUAACUUCAGGAAACUGGGGCUAAUACCGGAUAGGAGCUCCUGCUGCAUGGUGGGGGUUGGAAAGUUUCGGCGGUUGGGGAUGGACUCGCGGCUUAUCAGCUUGUUGGUGGGGUAGUGGCUUACCAAGGCUUUGACGGGUAGCCGGCCUGAGAGGGUGACCGGCCACAUUGGGACUGAGAUACGGCCCAGACUCCUACGGGAGGCAGCAGUGGGGAAUAUUGCACAAUGGGCGGAAGCCUAAUGCAGCAAAGCCGCGUGCGGGAUGACGGCCUUCGGGUUGUAAACCGCUUUCGCCUGUGACGAAGCGUGAGUGACGGUAAUGGGUAAAGAAGCACCGGCUAACUACGUG